UACGGAGGGAGCUAGCGUUGUUCGGAAUUACUGGGCGUAAAGCGCACGUAGGCGGCUUUGUAAGUUAGAGGUGAAAGCCCGGAGCUCAACUCCGGAAUUGCCUUUAAGACUGCAUCGCUUGAAUCCAGGAGAGGUGAGUGGAAUUCCGAGUGUAGAGGUGAAAUUCGUAGAUAUUCGGAAGAACACCAGUGGCGAAGGCGGCUCACUGGACUGGUAUUGACGCUGAGGUGGACGAAAGUGUGGGGAGCAAACGGG
rnacentral:rRNA from 1 species